UCCAGUGUGGCAUAGUGGUUGAGUGUUGGACUAUGAUUCUGGAGACUGGGGUUCAAUUCCCAGCUCAGCCU
rnacentral:tRNA from 1 species